CAGACGUGGUGCACCUGGAGGAGCAAGACAGCGGCGGCUCCAACACCCCCGAGCAGGACGACCUCUCGGAGGUAAUGGAAUGACAUCACUCAAAAGUCUAAAACUCUAAAAAAGGGCCGCAGCAGCACCAAGGCCAAGAAGCCACCGGGGGAGAAUGACU